UGGCCAAGGUUGCCAGCAAGGUCAAGGCAGCUGAUAUAAAGGUCCUCUUUGUGAAGCCUCUUGGGUAUUGGACUCAAUUUUUUUAUCAUUGCCACGGCAUUUUCUCACCCUCAGAUUGAUGCUAUUGGGUAAAAAAUAAGAGAUCUAGCUGAGAAGAAGUAUGGGAAAGUUCCAUCUGGGGACUCAAAACCCAACUCAUGGACCUUGUUGGACUUUGGUGACGUAGUAAUAAUCCAUAUAUUUCUUCCUCAACGAAGAGCUUUCUACAACUUGGAAGAAUUUUACUGUAAUGCAACAUCCAUUGAGCUGCCUUUUGAAAACCAACCGCCAUUUCGUAGUUGAAAUGUUUCUAAUUGUAUUAAAUUAUUAAAGGGUCCAUUUUAGUUGCUGCAACGUCCAGCUCUUUGUAAAGACCCCUUCAUAUUCUAAAAGUCAGCAUUAUUUAUAUUUCGUCC